rnacentral:rRNA from 1 species
AUUGAACGCUGGCGGCAUGCCUUACACAUGCAAGUCGAACGGCAGCACGGGGGCAACUCUGGUGGCGAGUGGCGAACGGGUGAGUAAUAUAUCGGAACGUACCUACUAGUGGGGGACAACGGGUCGAAAGGCUCGCUAAUACCGCAUACGAUCUAGGGAAGAAAGCAGGGGAUUCGCAAGGACCUUGCGCUAGUAGAGCGGCCGAUAUCUGAUUAGCUAGUUGGCGGGGUAAAGGCCCACCAAGGCGACGAUCCGUAGCUGGUCUGAGAGGAUGAUCAGCCACACUGGGACUGAGACACGGCCCAGACUCCUACGGGAGGCAGCAGUGGGGAAUAUUGGACAAUGGGGGCAACCCUGAUCCAGCAAUGCCGCGUGUGUGAAGAAGGCCUUCGGGUUGUAAAGCACUUUUAUCUGGAACGAAACACGCAGGGUGAAUAUCCCUGCGGACUGACGGUACCAGAGGAAUAAGCACCGGCUAACUUCGUGCCAGCAGCCGCGGUAAUACGAAGGGUGCAAGCGUUACUCGGAAUUACUGGGCGUAAAGCGUGCGUAGGUGGUUUCUUAAGUCUGCUGUGAAAGCCCCGGGCUCAACCUGGGAAUUGCAGUGGAUACUGGGGAGCUAGAGUGCGGUAGAGGGUAGUGGAAUUCCCGGUGUAGCGGUGAAAUGCGUAGAGAUCGGGAGGAACACCAGUGGCGANNNCGGCUACCUGGACCAGCACUGACACUGAGGCACG